UGAGGAACAUGACCUUCGGCGGGGGAUAGCCGGCCCAACGGCCGGGUAAUACCGCGUACGACCACUCGGGGACAUCCCCAGGUGGUGAAAGCAGCAAUGCGCCGAUGGAGUGCCUCGCGGCCUAUCAGCUAGUUGGUGAGGUAACGGCUCACCAAGGCAACGACGGGUAGCUGGUCUGAGAGGAUGGCCAGCCACAUUGGAACUGAGACACGGCCCAGACCUCCGUACGGGAGCAG
rnacentral:rRNA from 1 species